rnacentral:rRNA from 1 species
UACGUAGGGCGCAAGCGUUGUCCGGAAUUAUUGGGCGUAAAGAGCUCGUAGGCGGUUUGUCGCGUCUGCUGUGAAAACCUAAGGCUCAACCUUGGGCUUGCAGUGGAUACGGGUAGACUAGAGGCAGGUAGGGGAGAAUGGAAUUCCCGGUGUAGCGGUGAAAUGCGCAGAUAUCGGGAGGAACACCGGUGGCGAAGGCGGUUCUCUGGGCCUGACCUGACGCUGAGGAGCGAAAGCGUGGGGAGCGAACAGG